rnacentral:rRNA from 1 species
ACAGCCCCCAAAAAGUUUUUUCGGGCCCCGGGUGUAAACUGCUUUUGUACGGGAAGAAACACUCCUUCGUGAAGGAGCUUGACGGUACCGUAAGAAUAAGGAUCGGCUAACUCCGUGCCAGCAGCCGCGGUAAUACGGAGGAUCCAAGCGUUAUCCGGAAUCAUUGGGUUUAAAGGGUCCGUAGGCGGUUUGAUAAGUCAGUGGUGAAAGCCCAUCGCUCAACGAUGGAACGGCCAUUGAUACUGUCAGACUUGAAUUACUAGGAAGUAACUAGAAUAUGUAGUGUAGCGGUGAAAUGCUUAGAUAUUACAUGGAAUACCAAUUGCGAAGGCAGGUUACUACUAGUGGAUUGACGCUGAUGGACGAAAGCGUGGGGAGCGAACAGGAUUAGAUACCCUGGUAGUCCACGCCGUAAACGAUGGAUACUAGCUGUUGGGAGUAAUCUCAGUGGCUAAGCGAAAGUGAUAAGUAUCCCACCUGGGGAGUACGUUCGCAAGAAUGAAACUCAAAGGAAUUGACGGA